UGGGCAACCUGCCCCCGGCUCUGGGAUAACUCCAAGAAAUUGGGGCUAAUACCGGAUAUGACCGCUGACCGCAUGGUCUGGUGGUGGAAAGAUUUAUCGGCUGGGGAUGGGCCCGCGGCCUAUCAGCUUGUUGGUGGGGUAGUGGCCUACCAAGGCGACGACGGGUAGCCGGCCUGAGAGGGCGUCCGGCCACACUGGGACUGAGAUACGGCCCAGACCCCUACGGGAG
rnacentral:rRNA from 1 species